rnacentral:rRNA from 1 species
GAUGAACGCUGGCGGCGUGCUUAACACAUGCAAGUCGAACGAUGAACCGGGUGCUUGCACUCGGGGAUUAGUGGCGAACGGGUGAGUAACACGUGAGCAACCUGCCCCUGACGCGGGGAUAAGCGCUGGAAACGGCGUCUAAUACUGGAUAUGUUCCGUCACCGCAUGGUGUGCGGGUGGAAAGAUUUUUCGGUUGGGGUUGGGCUCGCGGGCUAUCAGCUUGUUGGUGAGGUAAUGGCUCAGCAAGGCGUCGACGGGUAGCCGGCCUGAGAGGGUGACCGGCCACACUGGGACUGAGACACGGCCCAGACUCCUACGGGAGGCAGCAGUGGGGAAUAUUGCACAAUGGGCGCAAGGCUGAUGCAGCAACGCCACGUGGGGGAUGACGGCCUUCGGGUUGUAAACCUCUUUUAGUAGGGAAGAAGCGAAAGUGAUGGUACCUGCAGAAAAAGCACCGGCUAACUACGUGCCAGCAGCCGCCGUAA